UUUUCUGUUCUUCAACGACGCCAAUCUGUCUUUGCUUCGCCGCCAUUCUUUUUCAAUUGUGUCAGCAGUUAUUCAAAGAAAUUCAUGAGCUGAUGCAGCGAAAUUUUUGUAAGUGAAAACUGAAAUUAACUUACUCUUUCAUCUUGGAUCUCAUCCCGAUCACUUAUCAGGUUAGCCAUUCUUGCUAAUUGUUUUCUCUUUUGUGGACUUACCUUCAUCAUCUUGGUUUGGUCUCAUCCCAUCACAGUUCAUAGGUCACAGUCAUCAGUUCAUCUCUUCACAGCAGCGACUCCUGUUCUUCUUAUAAUUGGAAAUGGAUUCAACGGACAGUGAUAAGUUUACUCGAAACUUCAGUUGGGAAGGAAACAGAGGAAAUAUGUGUCUUAAAGACACAAUGCUUGGCAAAGUCAUGCUAGGUGUAAUCCUUAAAUAUGAAAAACCUAAAAUAAAAAGUCAUGAGGCGAUAUUGGCUAUUCAAAAUUGGCUGAAACAUGCAAAGGAUGGUAUGAAAGCAGAGUUGGCGGCGGCAGCAGCAGCAGCAAAAAAAAAAAGGAGGAGAAUAAAAACAAUGAAAAAGAGGAUGAUUCCGAAGAAGACAGAAGGCCACUACCAUCUUCGUCCUCUGAUGAUGAAGAUUAAAAUUUUUUCGUUAUUCGAUUAAUAUGUACCAUGAUUGUUGAAAAUAAAAUUCAUGGAGUAACAAAAA